ensembl:lncRNA
GUUUAAUACUAGGUUUAAUACCAUGUUUAAUACUAGGUUUAAUACUAGGUUUAAUACCAUGUUUAAUACCAUGUUUAAUACCAUGUUUAAUACUAGGUUUAAUACCAGGUUUAGAAGCAAAUUCAAUUGUGAUGGUUGUAUUUUGAUUGCUGUAAGUCAAAUCAGAUUGUAUUUGUCAUAUACACAUGUUUAGCAGAUGUUAUUGGUCAUAUACACAUGUUUAGCAGAUGUUAUUGUGGGUAUAGUAAAAUGCUUGUGUGUCUGGCUCCAUGUAGUAAUAUCUAACAAUUCACAACAAUACACACAAUCUAAAAGUAGAAGAAUGCAAUUAAGGAAAAUAUUAAUAAUAGGAUGAGCAAUGUCGGAGUGGCAUUGACUAAAUACAGUAGGAUAGAAUACAGUAUAUACAUAUGAGAUGAGUAAAGCAGUAUGUAAACAUUAUUAAAGUGACUAGUUAGUAAAUACAGUAGGAAAGAAUACAGUAUAUACAUAUGAGUUGAGUAAAGCAUUGACUAAAUACAGUAGGAUAGAAUACAGUAUAUACAUAUGAGUUGAGUAAAGCAUUGACUAAAUACAGUAGGAUAGAACACAGUAUAUACAUAUGAGUUGAGUAAAGCAUUGACUAAAUACAGUAGGAUAGAAUACAGUAUAUACAUAUGAGUUGAGUAAAGGAAAAAUAUGUAAACAUUAUUAAACAACAUCUCCAUCCCUCUGAUCCUCAAAACUGGGGCCCUACAUGGGUGCGUUCUCAGCCCUCUCCUGUACUCCCUGUUCACCCACGACUGCGUGGCUAAGCACACCUCCAACUCAUCAAUCAUCAAGUUUGCGGACGACACAACAGUGGUAGGCUUGAUCACCAACAAUGACGAGACAGCCUAUAGGGAGGAGGUUACCUUUGCUUCCUUGGGUACAAGAAAAAUGGUGGACAUCUUGAAGAAAGUGGGGACAGCAGACUGGGAUAGGGAGAGAUUGAGUAUGUCCGUAAACACACCAGCCAUUGUGUUACCAUACUGUAGGUUCAUAUAAUCAGCAUAUAUUUUUCAUGGUCAGAUUUGAAUUGUGUAAAUAUUGAACUAUUGUUUAAUGUUUUUAAGUCUUCUGAAUAAAGUACUGAUUUGAUU